rnacentral:misc_RNA from 1 species
GAUGAAGAACGUAGCGAAAUGCGAUAAGUAAUGUGAAUUGCAGAAUUCAGUGAAUCAUCGAAUCUUUGAACGCACAUUGCGCCCGCCAGCAUUCUGGCGGGCAUGCCUGUUCGAGCGUCAUUUCAACCCUCGAGCCCCCCAGGGGGCCUCGGUGUUGGGGGACGGCACACCAGCCGCCCCCGAAAUGCAGUGGCGACCCCGCCGCAGCCUCCCCUGCGUAGUAGCACACACCUCGCACCGGAGCGCGGAGGCGGUCACGCCGUAAAACGCCCAACUUUCUUAGAGUUGACCUCGGAUCAGGUAGGAAUACCCGCUGAACUUAAGCAUAUCAAUAAGCGGAGGA